UAGGGAAUCUUCGGCAAUGGGGGCAACCCUGACCGAGCAACGCCGCGUGAGUGAAGAAGGUUUUCGGAUCGUAAAGCUCUGUUGUAAGAGAAGAACGUGUGUGAGAGUGGAAAGUUCACGCAGUGACGGUAACUUACCAGAAAGGGACGGCUAACUACGUGCCUG
rnacentral:rRNA from 1 species